rnacentral:rRNA from 1 species
GACGAACCGUGCGAACGUUGUUCGGAAUCACUGGGCUUAAAGGGCGCGUAGGCGGGCUGCCAAGUCCGGGGUGAAAGCCCCCCGCUCAACGGGGGAAUGGCCUUGGAUACUGGCGGCCUGGAGGAAGGUAGGGGCGUGCGGAACUCUCGGUGGAGCGGUGAAAUGCGUAGAUAUCGGGAGGAACGCCGGUGGCGAAAGCGGCACGCUGGACCUUUUCUGACGCUGAGGCGCGAAAGCCAGGGGAGCAAACGGG